rnacentral:misc_RNA from 1 species
GUGGUUUGGAUGUGGGGGGUUUGCUGGCCUUUUUAUAAAGGGUUCAGCUCCCCUGAAAUACAUUAGCAGAACAACCUGUUCAUUGGUGUGAUAACUAUCUACGCUAUUGAAUGUGAGGGGCAGUUCAGCUUUCCAACAGUCCUUGGACAAUUUAUCAUUUAUGUGACCUCAAAUCAGGUAGGACUACCCGCUGAACUUAA